rnacentral:rRNA from 1 species
AUUGAACGCUGGCGGCAGGCCUAACACAUGCAAGUCGAGCGAGCGGCGGACGGGUGAGUAAUGUCUGGGAAACUGCCUGAUGGAGGGGGAUAACUACUGGAAACGGUAGCUAAUACCGCAUACCAUCAGAUGUGCCCAGAUGUGAUUCGCUAGUAGGUGGGGUAACGGCGCACCUAGGCGACGAUCCCUAGCUGGUCUGAGAGGAUGACCAGCCACACUGGGAGUGAGACACGGUCCAGACUCCUGCGGGAGGGAGCAGUGGGGAAUAUGGGACAAUGGGCGCAAGUCUGAUGCAGCCAUGCCGCGGGUGUGAAGAAGGCCUUCGGGUUGUAAAGCACUUUCAGCGGGGAUGCGUUACCCGAAGAAGAAGCACCGGCUAACUCCGUGCCAGCAGCCGCGGUAAUUC